rnacentral:rRNA from 1 species
GACGAACGCUGGCGGCGUGCUUAACACAUGCAAGUCGAACGGAAAGGCCCUGCUUUUGUGGGGUGCUCGAGUGGCGAACGGGUGAGUAACACGUGAGUAACCUGCCCUUGACUUUGGGAUAACUUCAGGAAACUGGGGAUCAUACCGGAUAGGAGCUCCUGCUGCAUGGUGGGGGUUGGAAAGUUUCGGCGGUUGGGGAUGGACUCGCGGCUUAUCAGCUUGUUGGUGUGGUAGUGGCUUACCAAGGCUUUGACGGGUAGCCGGCCUGAGAGGGUGACCGGCCACAUUGGGACUGAGAUACGGCACAGAAGCGUACGGGAGGCAGCGGUGGGGAAUAUUACACAAUGGGCGGGAGCAUGAUGCGGCAACGCCGCGUGCGGGAUGACGGCCUUCGGGUUGUGAACCGCUUUCGCCUGUGACGAAGCGUGAGUGACGGUAAUGAGUAAAAAAGCACCGGCUAACUACGUG